GGAGUGGCCAGUGACGUGUGAGGAGAAUCAAGAGUCCUGCUCUCGUCUCUACAGUCACUCUGGAGAAUUAUACCGAGACCUCAAAGCCCGAGUUCAGUUUCCAACCGACAUUACUGAAUCCCUUCAGAACAAUCUGGAGACGCUUGAGAAACGAGUGAAACUUCAGCACUCCGUCCUGUCUGGAGCACAACACAUCCACAGGAGAAAAAGGUGAUGGAUGAAGCUGCUGGUGGUGUUAGAAGAUGAAGACCUGAGAGAUGCUUCAGCAGAGAUGAUGUCAGAUGAGGAAAGCCAGAAGCAUCUUACACGUCUUGACCUGAGAGAUCUUUUGUGUGGUUCUUUCAUCUAAUCCUAAGACACAGAUGUGUUUCUCUCUCUGAAAGAAUUGUAGAAUGAGACGAGGGUUGUGAGGUACAUCAGGUGACACAUGAUAGUGGGUGAACGGCGACAGGAUGAUAGAAAGAGAAAAGAGCUCAGAACUGCAUUGAUGCUAUUUUGAUGGAACUCAAUGAGAAUGUCUGCAGGUGACACACAAACAAACACACAACAGAUGAAUACACAACUGACUUAAUGAAGGAUACAAACUAACCUUUAGCAACGAGUACACGUUGAAGAGUGAUGUCAGUAAAUGAAUGAAGAGGAACGUGAGAAAGAGUGAUGCAGACGGUGCAGAGGUGAGUGUUAGUGUGAGUUCACAUCACUCAUGUGUGGCCUUCAGUUAGAGCAGCGUGUUUACUUUCACAACAUGUUACAAAUUAUCUGCUAAAAACAACUCUGCGUGACUUGGCAGCAAUGUUCACCUCACUCUAGUCUUG